UGAAGCUCUGGCUCCAGCUCCGCCUCUGGCUCCGCCUCCAGCUCCGGCUCCAGCUCCAGCUCCGGCUCCAGAACCUGUGAAAAAGGCCAGUUCGAAGAAGCUGUCUGAAAAAGAGACUCCAACAAGUGAAACCUCUCCAAAGACGGAGUCUGAAAAAGAGAGCCCAACUAGUGAAACCUCUCCAAAGACAGAGGCUUCAGGAACAGAAGAAGAAGGGACUGAAGGCACUUCAAAGAAGGGAAGUUCAGAAGAGGAAGAGGGGGAGGAAGAUGAAGAAGACUAAUCCUACUAAUCCAGACAAGUGUUUAUUGUUAAAUAUUUUAUUAUUAAAUACAUUAUUUGUCAUUAUCUUUUUAUUGUUGCCGUUAUCCUGAGGCUUAAAGAUAUUUCAUAAUAGCCAUUCUCCAAUCUGUGUUGGGUUAAAAUUCUUAUUACUCAUGGCCCUAGUGACUACCAAUGAUAAAAUUUAUAGGUUUCCUGGUGCCACAAGGAUAUUUUAGAAAUGUGUAGAACAUUCACAUGAUGUUUGUAUAGUGGCAGGAUUACCCUGUAUGUAUGUAUUCAUUUAUUUAUUGUAUCUCUAUAAAAUUUUCAAUAAUAUUUUCAGGUUUCCAAAUGCAGA